rnacentral:rRNA from 1 species
UACGUAGGUGGCGAGCGUUGUCCGGAUUUACUGGGCGUAAAGGGCGUGCAGGCGGUUUGUCUAGUCUAGGGUGAAAGCUCCCGGCUUAACUGGGAGAGGUCCUUGGAUACUGGCAAACUUGAGGGAGGCAGAGGAAAGUGGAAUUCCCGGUGUAGUGGUGAUAUGCGUAGAUAUCGGGAGGAACACCAGUGGCGAAGGCGGCUUUCUGGGCCUUACCUGACGCUGAGACGCGAAAGCGUGGGGAGCGAACCGG